ACACCGGCAGCUCAAGUGGUGGCCAUUUUUAUUGGGCCUAAAGCGUUCGUAGCCGGCUUGAUAAGUCUCUGGUGAAAUCCCAUAGCUUAACUGUGGGAAUUGCUGGAGAUACUAUUAGGCUUGAAAAAGGCCGGGAGAGGUUAGGGGUACUCCCAGGGUAGGGGUGAAAUCCUAUAAUCCUGGGAGGACCACCUGUGGCGAAGGCGCCUAACUGGAACGGACCUGACGGUGAGUAACGAAAGCCAGGGGCGC
rnacentral:rRNA from 1 species